rnacentral:rRNA from 2 species
UGGGGAAUAUUGGACAAUGGGCGCAAGCCUGAUCCAGCCAUGCCGCGUGAGUGAUGAAGGCCCUAGGGUUGUAAAGCUCUUUCACCGGUGAAGAUAAUGACGGUAACCGGAGAAGAAGCCCCGGCUAACUUCGUGCCAGCAGCCGCGGUAAUACGAAGGGGGCUAGCGUUGUUCGGAUUUACUGGGCGUAAAGCGCACGUAGGCGGACUUUUAAGUCAGGGGUGAAAUCCCGGGGCUCAACCCCGGAACUGCCUUUGAUACUGGAAGUCUUGAGUAUGGUAGAGGUGAGUGGAAUUCCGAGUGUAGAGGUGAAAUACGUAGAUAUUCGGAGGAACACCAGUGGCGAAGGCGGCUCACUGGACCAUUACUGACGCUGAGGUGCGAAAGCGUGGGGAGCAAACAGG